GAUGAACGCUGGCGGCGUGCCUAAUACAUGCGAGUCGAGCGAACAGACGAGGAGCUUGCUCCUCUGACGUUAGCGGCGGACGGGUGAGUAACACGUGGAUAACCUACCUAUAAGACUGGGAUAACUUCGGGAAACCGGAGCUAAUACCGGAUAAUAUAUUGAACCGCAUGGUUCAAUAGUGAAAGACGGUUUUGCUGUCACUUAUAGAUGGAUCCGCGCCGCAUUAGCUAGUUGGUAAGGUAACGGCUUACCAAGGCAACGAUGCGUAGCCGACCUGAGAGGGUGAUCGGCCACACUGGAACUGGGACACGGUCCAGACUCCUACGGGAGGCAGCAGUAGGGAAUCUUCCGCAAUGGGCGAAAGCCUGACGGAGCAACGCCGCGUGAGUGAUGAAGGUCUUCGGAUCGUAAAACUCUGUUAUUAGGGAAGAACAAAUGUGUAAGUAACUAUGCACGUCUUGACGGUACCUAAUCAGAAAGCCACGGCUAACUACGUG
rnacentral:rRNA from 1 species